rnacentral:rRNA from 1 species
UACGGAGGGAGCUAGCGUUGUUCGGAAUUACGGGGCGUAAAGCGCACGUAGGCGGCUUUGUAAGUUAGAGGUGAAAGCCCGGGGCUCAACUCCGGAAUUGCCUUUAAGACUGCAUCGCUUGAAUCCGGGAGAGGUGAGUGGAAUUCCGAGUGUAGAGGUGAAAUUCGUAGAUAUUCGGAAGAACACCAGUGGCGAAGGCGGCUCACUGGACCGGUAUUGACGCUGAGGUGCGAAAGCGUGGGGAGCAAACAGG